rnacentral:lncRNA from 1 species
GAUGGCACCUCGAGCUGGAGAGGAGCGUUUAAAGGGCUUCUUCUAAGUGUUCUAGGAGCGUUUAAAGGGCUUCUUCUAAGUGUUCUAGCGGGACCUUGCACGAUGCCUCCCGCUCGUGCGGAAGCUCGGGUCUGCAGCUCGGCGUGAAAGAGAAGACAUUAAGGGCUUGGUGCAGCCCUUACCAAGCCCACUGGCGUUUUUGAUCCAUGGCUGCUGCUUCCCUUCACUGUCCCUCAACUCUGAGGCAGGAGUCAAGUCUGUCCUAUCUGUGGGAACCUCAGUGUGUACCAUUUUUGCAGGUCAAGAAACAGCGGUGCAAACUAAGACGAGACGGUCAGCAAGUAAAGAGCCAAGCGGGUGGAAGUGGAACCCACUCCGCAAAGUUGGCAUCUGACCUCCACGUGCAGCAGUGGCGCGUGCGCCCACUCGCACAGAAAGAGAAAACGAAGCGGAGGAGAGGCUUGAGGGGUUUUGGGGGGGUGGUUUCAUAAUUAUUUAUUUUUUGUGUAUUGGUUUGCCUGCAUGUAUGUCCGUGUACCUCGUGCGUGGCCGAUACUCGGGGAGGCAAGACUGGAAGUGAGUUCUUCCUUGUGCUUGUAGCGGAACACAAGCACUCUUCUCUACCAUUUCCUCAGCCCCACUACAGUUUCCGGCGCUGGAGGUCUGGGGUGCUGUUUCGCCCGCUGGUCAGACACUUUUAGUUUCAAUUUACUUUUCCAUUCAGACUCAGGUGUUGGUGCGCUGCUUUCUUUUUUCUUUUCUUUUUUUUUUUUUUUUUCGGGGGGCGGGAUUUUUUCUCUGUGUAGCCCUGCCUGUCCUGGAACUCACUCAGUAGACCAGGCUAGCCUCGAACUCAGAAAUCCGCCUGCCUCUGCCUCCGGAGUGCUGGGAUUAAAGGCAUGUACUACCACGCCUGGCUAGGUUCAGGUUCUUUCCAUUGCCUACUCUCUCUCUAGGAGUGGCUAUCAUGUCCUUCAAUGAAUUCCUUUUAUCUUUUGUAAGUUUUGCACACAGCACAUAGACAUAACGCUUGAUGGUAAAUGAAAAGACUGGCUUGCACCAGCUUCUUGAAUUUUUUUCCCUCACUCCAGUACUACGAAUCAAAUCGUAGGUUUUGAGCAUUCUAGACAAGUGCUUUGCCACUGAGCUAUAUCCCUUGCCUGGCCCUAAGUGACUUUCUGUUUCUCUCUGUGUCUGUAUCUGUUUCUGAUAAAUGCCUAAUGUCCCUACUCCUCCAGCCCCCUAUAACCAACACACAUUUAUCCCAACUCUGAGCUGGUUAGACCAUUAUUUCCAAAACAAGGGUGGGAACAAGGGAGUACUAGGUAAGAGCUCCUGGAAGAGUCUUAAGAGUCAGCCCAUUGUCUUAUCAGGUACAAGGCUCGGGGGUGGACGAGCUUCCAGAAAAACCAG